rnacentral:rRNA from 1 species
CCUACGGGUGGCAGCAGGGGGGAAUAGUGGGCAAUGGGCGCAAGCCGGACCCAGCAACGCCGCGGGAAGGAAGAAGGCGGUCGGGUGGGAAACUUCUUUUCUCAGGGACGAAGAAAGUGACGGUACCUGAGGAAUAAGCCACGGCUAACUACGUGCCAGCAGCCGCGGUAAUACGUAGGUGGCAAGCGUUAUCCGGAGUUAUUGGGUGUAAAGGGCGUGUAGGCGGGAGCGCAAGUCAGAUGUGAAAACUCCGGGCUCAACCCUGGGCCUGCAUUUGAAACUGUGUUUCUUGAGUGCUGGAGAGGCAAUCGGAAUUCCGUGUGUAGCGGUGAAAUGCGUAGAUAUACGGAGGAACACCAGUGGCGAAGGCGGAUUGCUGGACAGUAACUGACGCUGAGGCGCGACAGCGUGGGGAGCAAACAGGAUUAGAUACCCGAGUAGUC